rnacentral:SRP_RNA from 1 species
ACCUAGGCCCCAUUCAAUUGGAGAGCUAUGAACCAGGUCAGGUGCGGAAGCAAGCAGCCUUAAGUAGAUUCGCCAAUGUGAAGUGGUUAGCCUAGGUUUC